rnacentral:rRNA from 1 species
AGAGUUUCGUAGUCCUGGCGUCAGGACGUAACGCUGCGGCGUGCUUACACAUGCAAGUCGAGCGGGCGUAGCAAUACGUCAGCGGCGGAACGGGUGAGUAACGACGUGAGCAAUCUGCCUCUACCAAUGGGAUAACACUUAGAAAUAGGUGCUAAUACCGUAUAAGACCACGAGCCUGCAUGGGCAUGUGGUAAAAGCUCCGACGGGUAGAGAUGAGCUCGCGUCCCAUUAGCUAGUUGGUAGGGUAACGGCCUACCAAGGCGACGAUGGGUAGCCGACCUGAGAGGGUGAUCGGCCACAUUGGAACUGAGAAACGGUCCAAACUCCUACGGGAGGCAGCAGUGGGGAAUAUUGGGCAAUGGGCGCAAGCCUGACCCAGCAACGCCGCGUGAAGGAUGAAGGUUUUCGGAUUGUAAACUUCUGUCGCGAGGGACGAAGAAUGACGGUACCUCGUAAGAAAGCCCCGGCUAACUACGCG